CUCCGCUCUUCCUCCAGCAGCACAAUGUGAUCCACCAGCAAGGAAUGACACCAAUGGAAGGUGUCCAAUAAGGUGGCAGGCAGAACACUGGCAGCUGGCAGAGACCUCCCACGUGGCGGUAGAACUAGGGUGUCUUUUGGCGGAAAGAUUUAUCAUAACACUGGACUCUGACUACUGGGUGAACCUUACACAAACCCCUUAGCUUUGUUCCUUCUUCAACUCUCAAGUGGCAUGUUGACUAGGAUGAUUCGUUCGGAGGCUCCUCCAGCCCUCAACAUUCUAAAUUGUCAAGCAGUUUAUACAUCCAACCCAGAAUCGGCAAGGGAAAUGCAACCACAGGUGAGGCGAAGAAAAACGUCUCAACGGCCAACGCAAGCAGCAAGCAGGUCCUGCUGUGGCUAGAAUCAUCAGGAGAUGGAAUGAAAGUUGACUGACUAUUUGGGGACAGCGAGAGAAACAGAUCUGGGGAGAUGCAGAAAUGAAGCUAACUUGAGGUGAGAUGGGAAACGGCCGAGAGGUAUGUGUGACACAGUUGACUACAUUUCCCCAAGUAUUCAAAAAUGGAUUAGUGAAAUUCCUGAAUGUGCU
rnacentral:lncRNA from 1 species